CGCUAGCCUGCGUUGCUUGAACAAACGACAUUAUCAUGAGUCGUGAUUCAUGCCCUAACCUGGACACUUCCAGUGGCUUCGUCGCUUCUUUAUAUCGAGAUUCUUGUCUUAAAAAAGUGGAAGUACAUAAAGAUGCCUGAUCUUUCAUUCCAAGUUAGGGAUUUGGUUGAGUCAAGAUGCUUUCAAGGUGGUUGUCGUGGUGCAUGGUUUAGAUGCAAGAUUCUGACUGUUCAGACUUUAGUGACUACUCCCUUGCAUUGAAUGUUCUUUAAACGUGGUUACUACAAGUGUUCUCGCAUCUUUCGAAAACUCAAACCCAUGACUUGAAUGAGGCCUCUUUGAUUGAACACUUCUACCAAAUUUUGUGAUAGACUCCACUGUGAACAAACUGUUUUGGUUUUCUUUG